ensembl:miRNA
UGAGGCUUGAGACUAGCAAGAGAGGGAGGCCCAAUGCCCCCUCGCUGUCUCAGUUCAGCAGGAAG